AAUUGACGGGACCCGCACAAGCGGUGGAUGAUGUGGUUUAAUUCGAUGCAACGCGAAAACCUUACCCACCUUUGACAUGUACGGAACCUUUAGAGAUAGAGGGGUGCUCGAAAGAGAGCCGUAACACAGGUGCUGCAUGGCUGUCGUCAGCUCGUGUCGUGAGAUGUUGGGUUAAGUCCCGCAACGAGCGCAACCCUUGUCAUUAGUUGCUACAUUCAGUUGGGCACUCUAAUGAGACUGCCGGUGACAAGCCGGAGGAAGGUGGGGAUGACGUCAAGUCCUCAUGGCCCUUAUAGGUGGGGCUACACACGUCAUACAAUGGCUGGUACAAAGGGUUGCCAACCCGCGAGGGGGAGCCAAUCCCAUAAAGCCAGUCGUAGUCCGGAUCGUAGUCUGCAACUCGACUACGUGAAGUCGGAAUCGCUAGUAAUCGUGGAUCAGAAUGUCACGGUGAAUACGUUCCCGGGUCUU
rnacentral:rRNA from 1 species